UCCGAGUUGGUCUAGUGGUCAUGAGUGAGCGCUUCCAACACUCUAAUGUAUUCAUCGCUAAUUCGUAUAGUUUCCGCUUGUCAUUGUCAAGCGCGGGAGACCGGGGUUCGAUUCCCCGACUCGGAG